rnacentral:rRNA from 1 species
AUUGAACGCUGGCGGCAGGCUUAACACAUGCAAGUCGAGCGGGGUGAUGGUGCUUGCACUAUCACUUAGCGGCGGACGGGUGAGUAAUGCUUAGGAAUCUGCCUAUUAGUGGGGGACAACAUCUCGAAAGGGAUGCUAAUACCGCAUACGUCCUACGGGAGAAAGCAUGGGAUCACUUGUGACCUGUCGCUAAUAGAUGAGCCUAAGUCGGAUUAGCUAGUUGGUGGGGUAAAGUCCUACCAAGGCGACGAUCUGUAGCGGGUCGGAGAGGAUGAUCCGCCACACUGGGACUGAGACACGGCCCAGACUCCUACGGGAGGCAGCAGUGGGGAAUAUUGGACAAUGGGGGGAACCCUGAUCCAGCCAUGCCGCGUGUGUGAAGAAGGCCUUAUGGUUGUAAAGCACUUUAAGCGAGGAGGAGGCUCUUUUGGUUAAUACCCAAGAUGAGUGGACGUUACUCGCAGAAUAAGCACCGGCUAACUCUGUGCCAGCAGCCGCCGUAA